GCAUAAUCAUUUGCUUCUUAAUUAGAGGCUAGAAUGAAAGGACUAACGAAAUUCUCCCUUUAUUAAAUAUAAAUAUUAAAAACUAAACUUCAGGUGAAGAUGCCUGAAUUCAAAUGAAAGACAAGAAGACCCUGUAGAGUUUUAGUUUUUACCAACCUCAUUUUAUCUAACUACUUUAAUUGGGGCGAUUAAGGAACUUAUCUAACAUCCUAAAAUCUUUAAGAAAGUUUUUCUCAUUAAUAACCCUUCAUCUACCAAGAAUUUAAAAUAAACUACCUCAGGGAUAACAGGCUUAUCUUUCUAAAGAGUUCAAAUUGACAGAAAGGUUUG
rnacentral:rRNA from 1 species